rnacentral:lncRNA from 1 species
CCCAGCAGGACUGAGCCCGUACCGCCCACUGGGGCCACCUUCUUGCUAAUUUCCUUCAUCCCAGCUCUCCUUCCUCCCCUCACCUUCCCACUCCCUCACAGGGCUUCCUGCAUCACCUCCCCCAGAAAACACUUGCGCUCAAUCCUUGCCUCAGGCUCUGCUUUUGGGGUGAACUCAAGAUAAGACAAGGUGAGCAGAUCCCAUCUCACCAGUCA